rnacentral:lncRNA from 1 species
GACCCAGACUUAAUCCUAUUAGGCUGGUCAAUUAUUAGCUUUCAUGAUCCCACCUAACCAACUCUUGAUUCGGUUUGAUCAACCGCUAGACCUAAUUGAGCUACCAAGCCCGAACCCAAUUUUAUGAAAAUAUCUUAGAUCUGAAAUUCUCAAUUUUAGACCUAAUUUAAUUUCAUAAACUUAAUACAUUAAUUAAGUUUGGGUUCAUAAACAAAGCAUGUAUAAUAAAUCCUAGGAUUUCAGGAUCUAGGAUUUUACAGAAAAGUAAGUUUUGAUUUCUGAUUAAGGAUGAACG